CAUCAGCUUCAUUUUGAACUUCUUUUUUACUCAAAUAUUUCUUCUUGUCCUCGCUCAAAUCCAAUCAACUCUAGUUAUGCCUUUACGAUAAUUCAGUCCAAUUAGAUGCGAUAAUUCUAUCUAUACCGAAAGAUCAAUUUCCACAUACUUUCUAAGAUUCUAGCCGAAAAAGAGAAAAAGAAAGCGACGAUGAAAGAGUGAGAAAUAGGGAGAGAAAGAUAGCUAGAAAAGAGAAAGGAAGACGAUGGUAGAAAUGAAUGUGUGAGAGAGUGAAAAUUAAAAGAUUAAGAGUAAUGAGAAUUAAUUUAGAAGAUAAGGGUAUUUUAAUUUGUUUUUUAAUGAAUUAACAUUAGAAAUAGAUAUAAGGACUGUAUAGAUAAUAGAGAUAAAAGAUAUUUUAAUCAAUCUUUAAAAAUUUAGGGAGUAUGUACAUCACUUCCGUGGCAUUGAUUCUUGAUAAAGAAAUCAUCUCCACAACCCCAGAAAUCUAAACGAUGAUGCUAAAUUCAUCUCUAUUUGCUUUAUAUCCCAACACUCUCUGCAUCUCUUCUCAUCAGACUUCAACUUCGAUAAUCAAACCCUUGAAUCCCCCUGGAGGAUUAGAAAAAACAAGGAACCAUGAGCCCAAGCCAUUGCGAAUUUGUCCGUGUGGAAGGAGACACUUCCUUGAAGCUGCAGCAACAGGUUUGCUUUCAGCUUACGUACCUCCGGCUACUGCUUCUGAUUACAAGGCUAUACUGAAUAGGGUUCACCCUCCAAGACCAGAUUGGUACGAGGAAUUUUACGCAUCAGUUUUGAAUUCAGAAGCUAUGAAGUCCUAUGAAGCAGAGAUUGCAGCUUACAAGUCACAGCUCUUUACUAAUUUGAGGGGAAAGGCCAAGAAAAUAUUAGAGAUUGGCAUUGGCACUGGUCCUAACCUCAAAUACUAUGCCAACGAUGCUGAUUUAGAGGUUUUUGGUGUGGAUCCAAAUGGAAAGAUGGAGAGAUAUGCGCAUGAAGCAGCAGAGGCUGCUGGGCUGCUGCCCGCAAAUUUCAAAUUUAUACAAGCAGUUGGGGAGGCCAUACCCUUGAGUGAUGCUUCAGUUGAUGCAGUUGUUGGAACUCUUGUACUCUGCUCUGUUACUGAUGUCGAUCAGACAUUGCAAGAGGUGAAGAGGGUGCUUAGACCAGGCGGGCUUUACUUAUUUGUGGAGCAUGUGGCAGCUAAAGAUGGAACAUUGCUUAGAUUUCUGCAGAACAUCCUUGAUCCUUUGCAACAGACAGUUUCUGAUGGCUGUCACUUAACUAGAGAAACAGGAAAGCAAAUUUUUGAAGCUGGUUUCUCAGGUGUUGAAUUAAGCACCGCUUUCUUGUCUAAUGCUGCUUUUAUAAAUCCUCAAGUUUAUGGAUUAGCUAGCAAGUAACCGCACUUUGGAUUACAACAGCCAAGCUGUUCAGCCAAUCGUCAGAAAGUAGCUACAGAAAAUGCGAGACUAAUUCAAGUUAAUAUGCAAAUGCAAUUAAAGAUUUUAGGACAAGAGUUAGCUUCUUGUCCUCUGGAGGAACUGCAAGAGAUGGACAGCGAGCUGGAGACAAGUUUGAGCAACGUCAGGGCGAGAAAGUAUAGAGAGAAGCGGAUGAAGGGGAGCUUCCGGAGAUAAGAGGAAGAGAAAUAUGAAGAUGCAGAAUGAUGACUCAUUCCGUGGCAAAUGUAUCCACUGCUCACAAAGCAUGGACCUCCCUGCAGACUCUGUUUGGUAGCAAGUCUCAAACCAGAAUCAUCAAUUUGCAAGGAUCACCAAAGGGCUUGGGAUCAGAAUAUACAUCUAUAGCAGCAGCUAUCAGAUCUCGUGCAGCACCCAUCUCAUAUGAGGAACUUUAUGAACAACUUCUUGAUCAUGAGAUUUUCCUGCAGAAUGAAGAUGCUAAGAAGACACCUCAUAUUACAGCUGCUAUCGCUCAACGAAACAACUCCCAUCCACCCUGCAACACUCGCCGUCCAAUGAAUGGCUCUUAUCAGCAAUAGGUCAAAUCCAAUAAAAAUUUGGCGAUCCCCACAUUCUAGACAGAAUACAAAUGGUAACAAUUCUUCAUGGCGGUCCAAGACAAAAUCUCAAACUGAUGAGGGCGUAGUCCGCUGUCAACUCUGUGAUCGCCCAAAUCACACUACUAAGAGUAUAUCGCUCGCAAUCUCAUGAUCAUCUCCAAGCCAAAGCCGAUUAUGCUGGCCAUCUCUUACAACAGCAACAGCCUUGGAUUAUUGAUUUCGGAGCAACUCAUCAUAUCACGUCUGAUGCCAACGACUUAACCACCAUACAUGACUAUCAUAGUCAAGAUGAGAUCUAUAUGGGUAAUGGCAACUCCAUUCCAAUAUCCCAUACUGGAUCUGAUCACAGGGCCACCUUUAGUUCGCGGGAAGAGUAAAGCCGGACUCUAUAAAUGGCCACCGAAAAGCCCAAGCAUACAUCCACAAUGCAAUCUCACAGUCUCUCAAGAUCUCUGGCACAGGCGUCUAGGUCAUCCCAAUAAUGAAGUUUUACAAAAAUUCAUGCAUAAAUAUUUCAUUCCACGUUGUGAUCCAAGUACGUCUAUUUGUCAUCCUUGCAAUUCCAAUAAAAUUCAUUGUCUUUCUUUUGCAAAAAAUAGUUUACAAAGAAAGAAAUCACCGCAAAUUA